UACGGAGGAUGCGAGCGUUAUCCGGAUUUAUUGGGUUUAAAGGGUGCGUAGGCGGGCAUUUAAGCCGGCGGUCAAAUGUCGGGGCUCAACCCCGGCCUGCCGUCGGAACUGGGUGCCUUGAGUGGGCGAGAAGUAUGCGGAAUGCGUGGUGUAGCGGUGAAAUGCAUAGAUAUCACGCAGAACCCCGAUUGCGAAGGCAGCAUACCGGCGCCCUACUGACGCUGAGGCACGAAAGUGCGGGUAUCGAACAGG
rnacentral:rRNA from 1 species